UAGUACGGCGAGUGAAGCGGGAAGAGCUCAAGCUUAAAAUCUCCGUGCAAGUUUUGCGCGGCGAAUUGUAGUCUAUAGAGGCGUGGUCAGUGAGGGCGCUCGGGGCAAGUUCCUUGGAAGAGGACAGCAUGGAGGGUGAUACUCCCGUUCAUCCCUGGGUGGCUCUUGCGUACGACCCGUUUUCUUUGAGUCGCGUUGUUUGGGAAUGCAGCGCAAAGUAGGUGGUAAAUUCCAUCUAAAGCUAAAUAUUGGUGCGAGACCGAUAGCGAACAAGUACCGUGAGGGAAAGAUGAAAAGAACUUUGAAAAGAGAGUUAAAGAGUACCUGAAACUGCUGAAAGGGAACCGAAUCGUUUCCAGUGUCUAUAAUCCGUGGCAUAUUUCAUUGGCGAGUGUGUGCGUGCGUGUGCUUUGGCAGUGGCUUUUUUGGCUGCGCUGGGCGUGUGUGCUGUGUGUGCUUGCUGGUGCCCUGUGCUGCGGUGGGACGUCAAGGUCAGUUCGUAUGCUGCGGGAAAUGGCUGCCGAGGAGGUAGGGCUUACGCUCCGCGUUUGUCUGUUAUAUCUUGGUGGACGAGUCGUCGCGGUUGGGACUGAGGUGCCUACAACGUGCUUUUGAGUGAGUAUGGGUCUCCGUGUGCGCCGUGUGCGGAUAGCUUGCUAUGCGUGUGUGGUUGUGUGUGGAUUGAUGCGUGCUGUAACUUGUCGCCGUUC
rnacentral:rRNA from 2 species